UACGUAGGCAGCGAGCGUUGUUCGGAAUUACUGGGCGUAAAGAGUGUGUAGGCGGUGUUCCCAGUCUGUUGUGAAAUCUCCCGGCUUAACUGGGAGGGUGCAGCGGAAACUAGAAUGCUAGAGGGUGGGAGAGGUAAGCGGAAUUCCUGGUGUAGCGGUGAAAUGUGCAGAUAUCAGGAAGAACACCCGUGGCGAAGGCGGCUCUCUGGGACGGUACUGACGCUGAGACGCGAAAGCGUGGGGAGCGAACAGG
rnacentral:rRNA from 1 species